rnacentral:rRNA from 1 species
UACGUAGGGGGCAAGCGUUGUCCGGAUUUACUGGCGUAAAGCGCGCGUAGGCGGAACUUCAAGUCCGGUCUGAAAGCCCCCGGCUCAACCGGGGAGGGUGGCUGGAAACUGGGGUUCUUGAGGGCGAGAGAGGAGGGUGGAAUUCCUGGUGUAGCGGUGAAAUGCGUAGAUAUAGGAAGGAACACCAGUGGCGAAGGCGACCACCUGGACUGAUACUGACACUGAGGUGCGAAAGCGUGGGGAGCAAACAGG